UUGAUCUCAAAUCAGGUAGGAGUACCCGCUGAACUUAAGCAUAU
rnacentral:rRNA from 1 species